rnacentral:other from 1 species
CAUCCCCUGCGGUGUUCGAGCGCAGGCACUACGUUUUCUUGAGCCGACAUUCAAUCGCCGCGGGAAAUACGGUAGCGACACUGGUGAGCAAGUCUGCCCCAGAGCGGAAAGCCUAAAGGGUCGCUCGGUGUUCCCACCUGGACCAAAGGGUUCAAGGGCGAUGCCGGCACGGCACUGCGCGGGGGAUGU